rnacentral:lncRNA from 1 species
UGAAAUAAAAAAUGUACCAAUCCAUGUGUAUUGACCAAAUGACAUUGAAGGUCAAAGUCAAACCAUGAGAAAUCAGAAAUGAGAUGAAGAUUGGAGAUUAAAUAAUAAACAAAAUAUUUUUGGCAUUUUCAAUAUUAAAAUAAACUUGAAUUAAAAAUAAAAGAAAGAUCAAACUUCAAAAUCACUUCAAAUCAACCUUGAAAGAUCCAAGUGAUUUAUCCCAAGUUCAACAAGAUCAAACAAAGUUUGAC